rnacentral:sRNA from 1 species
CUAGAAAUUCCUAAAAUACAUGAAUUCGAGUAUGAAAUUCAAUUUGAAUCUGAGGCUAUGAAGUCUAAGUUGGAAUCCUGUGUAGCUUUAUAUAUGAUUGAAAAAUCUUACGAUAUUAUGGCUAAAAGGAUAACAUUUAUCUUCAAUCUGGUAUUCACACCAAAGAAACCAUUAAGGUCUCACAUAACACUGAAAAUAGAGUGCGUAACAGAAGGGAUCUGGAAGUUUCCCAUAAUGUUGAUCGCUACUGAGCCUGAUACGGAUGCUGUCAUUGACAUUGAAGGAGUUGGUUUAUUUAAGGAAUCUGUUUUUGAACUUAGGCUGAAAAGUCAGACAAGAAAUCCUGAGCCGUUCACCGCACACUUCCUACCUGGCAGUGAUCUGGAGUUUUUUGUAAAACCUCAGGCUGGAGAACUUCUUCCUUUUAACACAAACGGAACUCUCAUCACUGUAGGAUUUAAACCUAAAAUGUACUGUAGGAAAUAUAAAGCAACAUUAGUAAUACAGGUGAGUUCUAUAAAGGCAAUAGCCAAGGUUGUUUGAUGCAACUAAAGACACUAAAUAAACUAGCAAGAAAAGGUUUUACUACAUGGUGACAGAUAAAGAAUAACAAUUUUGCUGUGCAAAAAUCAACUUAUCUCAACUGCUACAUCUUGGUUUGCUUUUCUUUUGUCAAAGAGCAGAAUUUUAAGUAUGGUAUAUAACAAACAGUUGUCAACACUAGAGGAAAGUUAAAAAAAAUACUUUCCUUCCAUAUUAAGGAACUGUAGAAGAGACAAAUAAUGACUGUAA